rnacentral:rRNA from 1 species
CAGUGAUAAACUGGAGGAAGGUGGGGAUGACGUCAAGUCAUCAUGGCCCUUACGACCAGGGCUACACACGUGCUACAAUGGCGCAUACAAAGAGAAGCGACCUCGCGAGAGCAAGCGGACCUCAUAAAGUGCGUCGUAGUCCGGAUUGGAGUCUGCAACUCGACUCCAUGAAGUCGGAAUCGCUAGUAAUCGUGGAUCAGAAUGCCACGGUGAAUACGUUCCCGGGCCUUGUACACACCGCCCGUCACACCAUGGGAGUGGGUUGCAAAAGAAGUAGGUAGCUUAACCUUCGGGAGGGCGCUUACCACUUUGUGAUUCAUGACUGGGGUGAAGUCGUAACAAGGUAACCGUAGGGGA